rnacentral:rRNA from 1 species
GAUGAACGCUGGCGGCGUGCUUAACACAUGCAAGUCGAACGGUGAACGAGGGAGCUUGCUCCCUCCGGAUCAGUGGCGAACGGGUGAGUAACACGUGAGCAAUCUGCCCUGGACUCUGGGAUAAGCGUUGGAAACGACGUCUAAUACCGGAUACGAGGCGUGGGGGCAUCCCCAACGCCUGGAAAGAACUUCGGUCCAGGAUGAGCUCGCGGCCUAUCAGCUUGUUGGUGAGGUAACGGCUCACCAAGGCGACGACGGGUAGCCGGCCUGAGAGGGUGACCGGCCGCACUGGGACUGGGACACGGCCCAGACUCCUACGGGAGGCAGCAGUGGGGAAUAUUGCACAAUGGGCGCAAGCCUGAUGCAGCAACGCCGCGUGAGGGACGACGGCCUUCGGGUUGUAAACCUCUCUUAGCAGGGAAGAAGCGAAAGUGACGGUACCUGCAGAAAAAGCACCGGCUAGCUACGUGCCAGCCGCCGCUGUAAGAC